UCAAUCAUUGUCAUAAACUGUUUUUGCUAUCUCUCUUUCACAUUUUACUCUCUCGAGCAAUCUUCAUAAUCUCCCUUAAAUCUCAGUUCCUUUCAUGAACCCUAACUUUCGCCAUUCACUUUCCCAUCCCAAAAAUUGUAAUUUCACUUUGUUCUACCUCUAAUUGCAUCUAACGGUUAUGUCUGAUUCGAUUCCUCCUUCUUUCUCCGGCGAAUUUCGUUGUCUCAGAUUCAUGUGAUUCACUGUCACCAACGACUAAGUCGAACCAACAACACAGAGCAAUUCGACUCCUGGUAAUGUACAAACUCUCUAAUUUCUUAGUAGUAAUUUUUGAAAGAUGAUAAAAAUUUGGGGAUUUUAGGUUUACUUGAAAUUUAGUUUUUUUUUUGUUUCAAGGUAGGAAAUUGAUUAUACUAGACGAAGAAGAAGAAAGCUUGUGGAUCUAAGUGCCUAUCACGGUGAAGAGAAUUCAAGAGGUAAACUUUGAAUUUCACAUAUUUGAACUACCCAGUUAUACAGUUAGUUAUUAUUGAUGAUGGUUUAUUUUAUAAGAGCUGAGACUAGAAUAAACUUAUAGGAACAGAUUUUGACUUCUUAGUUUUUCCAUUGGUCUCAUAAUACGUGUACUAGAGAGCAAAUGAAACUUUAAUGUUUAGGUGUGUAGUGGUUUUUGUAACGUAUGGCUUGUAAGACGUCUCUGUAUAUUAAGAGACAUCAAACAUAAUUAACCGGAAUAAUUUUAUUAGUAGUAUAAGAUUGUAAAGGGAACAACGCAAAUGUAAGAAACACGAUAUAAAUAAGAACUUACCUCGUGUUGCUACUAAUUGUAAAAGUCUUAGAAGUUAAGUGUGAAAUUCUAAAGUUUGUUUGGUGAUAUGAUCAGUUUAAAAUAUAAUGAUCUACUACCAGACAAAAAUUUGGACAAAGUCAAAAGUGUAGUGUCUUCUUCUUUUUUAUCCGAUACAGAGAACAAAAGCAAAGUGGGAACCAAAAAAUGUGUUGUAGAACAUUUUCUUUAAUCUUGUUCUUUAUCAUGGUUUCAGUAACCAUAGUUUUAUUUCUUUCUUACCCAAUUAUGUAGUCCAAUUACAUAGAUUACUUUUAUUAAUAUGUUUGAUUUUGGUAUAAUGCAGGAUUAGUUGGAGAUGUCUACCACUAAUGAAGAUUCUUUCAGUUUACCAAGAAAACGCUUUGAACCAGACAAAAAACCUACACUUGAGUCUCAUAUCAACUAUAAAUCUCGUCUUAGUCUCUAUGAUGAAAAGUGGGAUAGGCAUUUUAAAAAGGAGUUAGAUUACAUUAAGGCAUCUCCUUUUGGGGAUUUAUAUCGGCUAGCACCCUCCAAGAGCACCCAUUAUUUUUGCACACCACAACAAGCUUUGUAGGAUCUGAUUUUGAAACUCUCCAGCCAAACUUAUAUUUUACUGAAAGCAUCCACAACCUCUGCUGUAUUUCAUAUUUGCUCUUAAAGUAUUCACCCACUUUAAUGUCUGUAUUGUUAGAAGAUAGAAUAUUGUUGUUAUCACCACCAUCGUUUUUAUCAUAUUGAUCACCAAGAUCAACAUGA
rnacentral:lncRNA from 1 species